GAUUACAUGUACCCUGUGACGUAUGUAAGUUCCACGAGUAGCCUCUAGGAGGCACACUAGCUACAGAGUUUAAACCAUACAAACAGCCGUCGACAAUAGAGAAGAGAAAUACGGAUAUUUAGAAAUACAGACAACUGUGACUAUGGAUACUUGAAUUAUUGAUAUUUGAACUUCGGAUAUUUGAGCUACAGGACAGUUGAACUACGACAAAAAAGAUCCCUCCCACGAAGCUUCCUUGACAGAUGAUCUCCUGUUGAAGGAAGAAGGAAGACUCUUUUCUCUUGUGUUUUGUACGCUGCUGGAAUCCUGGAUCUGGACAUUGCACCUUGCACAGAUUGGAAGACUGAAUCAUUCCCCCUUUUCUUUUCUUUAUUAUUUUCUUUGAGUGCACUCAUACUUUAUUUUGGAUUAUUUUCUUUAAUUUGUUAGUGUAGAAUAUGGCUGCAUAAGUAAUAUAUUAGAAGGGUAUAAAAUAGA